rnacentral:rRNA from 1 species
UACGAAGGGUGCGAGCGUUAAUCGGAAUUACUGGGCGUAAAGCGUGCGCAGGCGGUCUGUUAAGACCGAUGUGAAAUCCCCGGGCUUAACCUGGGAACUGCAUUGGUGACUGGCAGGCUUUGAGUGUGGCAGAGGGAGGUAGAAUUCCACGUGUAGCAGUGAAAUGCGUAGAGAUGUGGAGGAAUACCGAUGGCGAAGGCAGCCUCCUGGGCCAACACUGACGCUCAUGCACGAAAGCGUGGGGAGCAAACAGG